AACGAACGCUGGCGGCAUGCCUAACACAUGCAAGUCGAACGGGAUCCUAGCUUGCUAGGUGAGAGUGGCGGACGGGUGAGUAACACGUGGGAAUCUGCCUUUUGGUUCGGGAUAACCGCGGGAAACUGCGGCUAAUACCGAAUGCCUUCGAGAGAAGAAAGAUUUAUCGCCAGAAGAGGAGCCCGCGUCCGAUUAGGUAGUUGGUGGGGUAAAGGCCUACCAAGCCGACGAUCGGUAGCUGGUCUGAGAGGAUGAUCAGCCACACUGGGACUGAGAUACGGCCCAGACUCCUACGGGAGGCAGCAGUGGGGAAUAUUGGACAAUGGGGGCAACCCUGAUCCAGCAAUGCCGCGUGAGUGAUGAAGGCCUUAGGGUUGUAAAGCUCUUUUGCCAGGGAAGAUGAUGACUGUACCUGGAGAAUAAGCCCCGGCUAACUUCGUG
rnacentral:rRNA from 1 species